UCCUACGGGAGGCAGCAGUGAGGAAUAUUGGUCAAUGGGCGAGAGCCUGAACCAGCCAAGUAGCGUGCAGGAUGACGGCCCUAUGGGUUGUAAACUGCUUUUAUGCGGGGAUAAAGUUCACUACGUGUAGUGUUUUGUAGGUACCGCAUGAAUAAGGACCGGCUAAUUCCGUGCCAGCAGCCGCGGUAAUACGGAAGGUCCGGGCGUUAUCCGGAUUUAUUGGGUUUAAAGGGAGCGCAGGCCGGAGGUCAAGCGUGACGUGAAAUGUAGCCGCUCAACGGCUGAACUGCGUCGCGAACUGGCUUUCUUGAGUGAGUUCGAUGUGGGCGGAAUUCGUGGUGUAGCGGUGAAAUGCUUAGAUAUCACGAAGAACUCCGAUUGCGAAGGCAGCCCACAAGGCCUUUACUGACGCUAAAGCUCGAAGGUGCGGGUAUCGAACAGGAUUAGAUACCCUGGUAGUCC
rnacentral:rRNA from 1 species